CCCAUCCAGGAAACCACUCCCCAAGAGGAAGAACACGUGGAACUUCCUGAAAUGCGCCUACAUGGUGAUGACCUACCUCUUCGUAUCCUACAACAAAGGGGACUGGGGACGUUCAUAAGGACCAAGCCUGUUGCUGGUUGCUGGGGACUCUGAUGGUUGAGCUACCUUCAAGAAGGUCCUAAUUCUGUAAGGGAGGCAGACAUCCACAGAGAGAACCAGAUCACCGAGUGGUAGCACUUCAUGAGCAGUUCACUUUUUCCUCCCAAGUGUUACUGCCACUACUGUAACUUGGAACUGGACAUCAGGGAUGAUCCCUGCUGUUCUUUCUAGUGAGCCUGCUCCAUCUCAGCUUAGCCUUCACAAGGCCUCCAUCUCCCAGGCAUUCUAACCUCUGAAGAAAGCUCUCUGUCCCCUGGACUGCCUGUGUGGAGGGUAAUGAACUGGGUCCUUUAAGGAAUGGCACCUGGGUGCCCAGAGGCAUGGCCAGAAGGUGUCUGUGGGGGCCAUGCCUUAGGGGGAUGCACCCAGGGCGGCUGAGAGAGCAACUGCAGGAGUUUCCCCUAAAAUCUCUCCUCCAGAUCGUUCUCGAACUUUCCCCACUACUUCCAUAAUAAAAUGUAUACUUGUUGAAA
rnacentral:lncRNA from 1 species